UACAUUUAACUGAAAGAACAACCAGAAAGAAGAUGAUGAUCAUCAGCGUCUGUAUCUGGACACUCAUUCUUUUUGUUCAAGAAACUACAGGACAAAUUUCUGUGACUCAGACUCCCUCAGUAGCAGCUGUUCAACCAGGAGAAACAGUUACUUUAAACUGUCAAACUAGCAGAGGAAUCGGAGAUCGUUCACGGGGUUGUGGUGACUGUCUCUCCUGGUAUCUGCAGAAACCUGGAGAAGCUCCUAAACUCCUCAUUUAUGGCAUUAGCUCACGACAGUCAGGAACUCCAUCUAGAUUCAGUGGCAAUGGAGCAAAUUAUGGAACAGAUUUCACUCUGACCAUCAGUGGAGUCCAGACUGAAGAUGCUGGACAUUAUUACUGUCUGAGUUUCCACUACAUCAACAGUAUAAAUAUAUUCACACAGUGA